CCUUUGUACACACCGCCCGUCGCUACUACCGAUUGAAUGGUUUAGUGAGGCCUCUGGAUUCGAAACUUGAAGUUGGCAACGAUUUUAAGUUUUGGAGAAAUUGGUCAAACUUGGUCAUUUAGAGG
rnacentral:rRNA from 1 species